ensembl:lncRNA
GUUUCCUUCUGUUUUAGUUCCUGUUCUAUUGCUGUGAAGAGACACCAUGAUGGAGGCAAAUCUUAUAUGUGUUUAACUGAGGGCUUGCUUACAGUUUAACUGGGUGCUUGGUAAAUCCCACAUUACAGUAUCCUUGCACUACAAGUAAAAAAAAAAAUGCUCUGUGUUUUAAAUUUCUAUCAAUAAUUCAUUUUAUUUACCUCCCUUCUAUGCAUAUAUCCAUACUUACUAGAGCUUCCACACCUACAACCCACAUUUUUCUCUCUUCGCCAAAUCAUCAUAUUGUUUGAUUUAGCAUCGAUUUAAAAGGCCCAUAUAUACUCCAGCUGCUAAGUAAUUGCUUUCUUGAUUUUGCUGGCCUUACUUUCGCAACAGGUCAGCCCCACACCAUCCACAGGUUCUUACAGAUUCUGUUUGUACUUAGAUAUCCUUUGACCAUCGAGAUAGUCAGCAUGAGAUGCUGAAUAAGCAAACACUAUCUAAACCAAUGGUUCUCAGCCUGUGCGUUGCAACCCCCUUCAGUUCCAAUGACCCUUUCUUCACAGAAGCUGCAUAUCAGAUGUUUACAUUAUGAUUCAUAACAGGAGCAAAACUACAGUUAUGGGUAGUAUGGUGUGUGUGUGGGGGGGAGGUCACCACAACAUGAGGAACUGUAUUAAAUGGUCACAGCAUUAGGGAGGUUAAGAACCACUGCUCUAGACUAUUAAAUUCUUGACCUCAGGCUUAGGUCUUAUGUUUGCUCAUCUGCCUUCUCCAUAAAAUAAAAACUUAAAGAUCUUGUUUGAUUUUAUUGAGUGUCAUCUUCCCAAGCCAAUCAGAGAAAACUAAUAGCUAUUCUUUUUCUUCCCUUCAGCAAGAGUGAAAGCAAGGAUUUGUACUAUGAGUAUUUACACAAAGUCAUCAAUUACUAAUAGAGACCAUUAUUCUACAUGAAUCAGGUAUGGGGACACUUUCUGAUGGGCUGAAUUGUAUUUUCAUGAUUUCUAUAGUUUGGAAGAUUCUUAUCUCUGUCAUUCCCCCUUGCUGAAGAGACUCUAGGUCAUAGGAUGAUUUUUGUGUUUUUUUCCCAGUUCUAGGAGCUAACAGGAAAGGGGCGACAAACACUAUAGCUGGGGCUUGGAGGCUAAAGAACAGAGCACUCCAGGCUAACAAUUGAACUUGUACUGCCGGUUUACACCAGCGGUGGUUGAAAGUAAUGAAGGCAAGGCUCUGCUGAUGCUGGAAACAAUACCAAAUCUUAUUGUGGAACAAAAAAUUCUGACAUCUGUUUUCUUCUUCAAUUCAACUUGAGUGAAUUUAUAAUCGUUUUCAAGAAGCUCCUAACCUUGUGGAAACAGAUUAGCACUGAGUGCAUUUGCGAGUUUGGUUUACGCGGUCUUAAAAGUAUGAGUCACAGUGCAAUGUGUGUGUUUACGAACAUCCUUUGGGCAUAGUGAACAACAAAACAGUGAAGACACUUCGGCUGUUUCUUAAAAUAAGGACAAGCCUCUCUCAUAAAGUCUGAGGAAUGGAAUCCUGUGGAACCAAAGAAGAAAAACUCACUUUAUACUCAACUGUUUCAAGCUUGAAGAGCCUUAAUCUCUAUUUGUCCCUCGGAGUCUGAGGACAGGAUAUAAAUGGGGUGCUGCUGGUGUAAGAUGAUGGAUGAGGGUACCCUCUGGUUGCCAGAGGAUCUGUGACC